rnacentral:tRNA from 1 species
GAGGAUGUAGCCAAGUGAAUCAAGGUAGUGGAUUGUGAAUCCACCACGGAUAGGUUCAAUCCCCAAUAUUUUCC